rnacentral:rRNA from 1 species
AGUGAACGCUGGCGGUAGGCCUAACACAUGCAAGUCGAACGGCAGCACAGUAAGAGCUUGCUCUUACGGGUGGCGAGUGGCGGACGGUUGAGGAAUACAUCGGAAUCUACUUUUUCGUGGGGGAUAACGUAGGGACACUUACGCUAAUACCGCAUACGACCUACGGGUGAAAGCAGCGGAUCUUCGGACCUUACGCGAUUCUAUGACCCGAUGUCGGAUUAGCUAGUUGGCGGGGUAAAGGCCCACCAAGGCGACGAUCCGUAGCUGGUCUGAGAGGAUGAUCAGCCACACUGGAACUGAGACACGGUCCAGACUCCUACGGGAGGCAGCAGUGGGGAAUAUUGGACAAUGGGCGAAAGCCUGAUCCAGCCAUACCGCGUGGGUGAAGAAGGCCUUCGGGUUGUAAAGCCCUUUUGUUGGGGAAGAAAAGCAGCAGGUUAAUACCCCGCUGUUCUGACGGUACCCAAAGAAUAAGCACCGGCUAACUUCGUG